UACGUAGGCAGCGAGCGUUGUUCGGAGUUACUGGGCGUAAAGAGUGCGUAGGCGGUUUUCUAAGUUUGGUGUGAAAUCUCCCGGCUCAACUGGGAGGGUGCGCCGAAGACUGGAAGGCUUGAGUAUGGGAGAGGUAAGCGGAAUUCCUGGUGUAGAGGUGAAAUUCGUAGAUAUUCGCAAGAACACCAGUGGCGAAGGCGGCUCACUGGCCCGGUACUGACGCUGAGGUGCGAAAGCGUGGGGAGCAAACAGG
rnacentral:rRNA from 1 species